rnacentral:sRNA from 1 species
GUACACAGAUACGGCUCAAUCUUGAGGGUGGUCGGCUCAUCUCCCCACGUCACAAACGGAAGGGAGGUGGGAUCGUGGCAAUUACUCACGAAACGCUUUCGCUUAUGCUCCAGUUUGGCGGCUUUGUUGUCGGACUGCUGAGCCUAGUCGUAGCAAUCGUUGUUGCCUUGUCCAAACGAAAUGACCGCCCUUAAGCUUUGACGUGGCUAAGGCGGUCAUUUCGUCCGUUUUACAAGUCACUUGAGCCGAUCCCCUAAAGGGGCCGUCUUUGUACCACCGACAUGGUGUUACCAGCACCGUGU